UGGGGAAUAUUGGACAAUGGGGGCAACCCUGAUCCAGCAAUGCCGCGUGUGUGAAGAAGGCCUUAGGGUUGUAAAGCACUUUCACUGGUGACGAUGAUGACGGUAGCCAGAGAAGAAGCCCCGGCUAACUCCGUGCCAGCAGCCGCGGUAAUACGGAGGGGGCAAGCGUUGUUCGGAAUUACUGGGCGUAAAGGGCGUGUAGGCGGCGCGGUUAGUCAGACGUGAAAGCCCGGGGCUCAACCUCGGAAUAGCGUUUGAUACUGCUGUGCUUGAGACCGGGAGAGGGUAGUGGAAUUCCCAGUGUAGAGGUGAAAUUCGUAGAUAUUGGGAAGAACACCAGUGGCGAAGGCGGCUGCCUGGCCCGGGUCUGACGCUGAGGCGCGAAAGCGUGGGGAGCAAACAGGAUUAGAUACCCGUGUAGUCC
rnacentral:rRNA from 1 species